AUCGAACCUUAGUGGGGAAAGACACGUACUAACUACACCACCGCUGGAGCAAUGCGCAAUCUUCUGCUGAUAGGAGGAAACUGUUUAUAUAUAUACGAUCUCUAACAUAUGUACAGAAACUCUGGAGGCCCCCGGGAGCCGGUGGCCUGAGGCAGCCCUCAGGGCCGGCCUUGGAAUCAGGAGCUGGAACUCUAGAAAUCUGGAGGUGGCAAGUCUAGUACCUAUAUGGUUCCUUGAGUUGCUAGAUACAUAGAUAAACAAGGGAGAGAGAGAAAAAGAGGGUUUUGGUAUCUUAGAAGUGGAGGAGUAAAAAGUCAGGAACUUGUUUUCAUCCGGAUACUUAACGUGAAAAUCAAUCAAGGUGACAAAUAAAUAAGUUUGAAGUUAUUUUACUGCAAGGGUGUUUUUAAUAAUGUAAUAUACAUGUGUGUUAUUGUUAAUCAUGCUUGGGUCCUAGACAAGAACUUGGAAUAUAGUUGACCUUUUGUUGUAAAUGUUGUUGUAAACCCCUCUUGUAAUAAAGGUUGUGUUUCAAUUUCGAAAACUU